rnacentral:rRNA from 1 species
UACGUAGGGUGCGAGCGUUAAUCGGAAUUACUGGGCGUAAAGCGUGCGCAGGCGGCGCGUUAAGACAGGUGUGAAAGCCCCGAGCUUAACUUGGGAAUUGCGCUUGUGACUGGCGAGCUGGAGUGUGGCAGAGGGAGGUGGAAUUCCGACGUGUAGCAGUGAAAUGCGUAGAGAUGUGGAGGAACACCGAUGGCGAAGGCAGCCCCCUGGGUCAAAACUGACGCUCAUGCACGAAAGCGUGGGGAGCAAACAGG